UAGCUCAGCUGGUUAGAGCGCACCCCUGAUAAGGGUGAGGUCGGUGGUUCGAGUCCAC
rnacentral:tRNA from 1 species